rnacentral:rRNA from 1 species
UACGAAGGGGACUAGCGUUGUUCGGAAUCACUGGGCGUAAAGCGCACGUAGGCGGAUGUGUCAGUCAGGGGUGAAAUCCCGGGGCUCAACCUCGGAACUGCCUUUGAUACAGCACGUCUCGAGUCCGGAAGAGGUGGGUGGAAUUCCUAGUGUAGAGGUGAAAUUCGUAGAUAUUAGGAAGAACACCGGUGGCGAAGGCGGCGACCUGGGUGGAUACUGACGCUGAGGUGCGAAAGCGUGGGGAGCAAACAGG